CGGCUCGGGAUGUGGAGGACCAGGGGGCGGCACGUGGGGUGGCGGGUGGGGAGGAUCGUGGGGUGGUGGAGGGUUAUGCAUCCUUCUUCUUCCCCAAGCUUCCUUCUAAGCAGCGUGGCGAAGCGUAUUGUUCUGAUAACGCAACUUAUAUAGUUCAGAGGAUACAGUUCACCCCAUUGUUGUUUCGACAGAUGUCAUUGUUAAAACCAGAUUGUCCGCACAACUACUGGUCAGAGAAAGCUGUGUGUGCUGGUAGUUCUGCUACCUAAAAUCUCACGGAGUUGUCUAGAAGGAGAGACGUAUGUCCAACUCAAAGAUGAAUUAAUCCGUGCAGUCUAGAAUCUCGUUUCAUGACUAGAGCGUUGGAGUAGUUUCCUACUCUGUGCUUGUCUCCAGAAGCUUGUGGAGAAAGGUUCUCUUUAUUGAGCUUGGAAUUCUCAUCCUUCAAGUCAAUGACAGACCAUUCUUCAUCAGAAUUCUCUUUUGUCUCUUUUGGCCCAGCAAGUAUGACAUCUCUGGCAUCAAUCUCAGCUCCUUGAACCGCAAGUCUCUGCAGCAGUGGCCUUUUCGAAGAGUGGUACUGAUCCACCGUGAUACAUUUGGCAUACAAGAGUUCCUAAUAAGGACAGCAACAAUUCAGUCAUUUCAAAAAUAUAACACUAACUUUAAAUUGGCGAUAAUCCUUACUCCUAUGAGAGAAAAAGGGAAGCGCAUAAGCAUUAUGUGGACCAUUGAACAUCGCAUAAGGGUAUGGCGAGAAGUGGGAAUAGUUCUACUGCAAUCUAAUAGGAGUUCUCAAGUAAAUGUACAUCCCAGAAUCCUCACCGAUCCUCUCACUUCUAGUACCAACAAACUGGUAAGUCGAACUCCAAAUGAUGCAUAUCCACUUAAUGUCCUAUUUCUGGAGUCUGGGCUUGAUGGGAACAUAAAUACAACUUUGUUGCUUCCAACUGCACUAUCAAAAUUGUGGACCAGAAACCCAAUUAAGACUCAAUUAUGAUCUUUUGCCUAA